UAACAAAACGACCAACUCUAUCAACAAUGCGAGGAUUUUUAUCAAAAAUAAUCGAAUAACCGUAAUCCUGAAGUUGAGAUACCGAAAGUAAAUUACAAGUUAAAUCCGAAACUGAACCGAAUUCCGGAUAUUUAAACGUACCAGCGAUCAUCGCAGCAGCGGGUCGAGGUUUCACCGGACCAGAAUUAUUUGUCGUAGCAUUAUUUGAAUUUUGCUCAGACGUUCCAGCACCAUUAGAAUUUUGACGACGAUUGUUGGCUUCGUCGCCGUAUCUCGGACACAAGCGACCUAUAUGUCCGUUGCCAUUACAACGAUAACAAACCAGAGGACCCUUCGGCGAUGCAUUUUUACGAAAAUCGCCAGAAUUAUUCCUACACGACGAAGCGAUAUGCCCGAAUUUUUUACAUUUGUAACAUUUUUUACCGUUAUUCGAAUUACGUUUAUCUUUAUCGUUUUUAGGUUUACCUUCGACAUUAUUGGCAACCAUAGCGGCACCUUUCGCUUGAGACGUACCUGAUGUAUUAGACGAGGUUCCUUUUUUCUCAUCAAACGUUUUGAGAAGCGAUACGAUUAAACUUGAAUCUGCCGAAGAUGUAUGCAGAGCCGUUCGUGCUGACGUACAGAUGCUAUCAAACCGAGGUUUAUCCUUCAACCCAUUAAGGUUUUAAACUUGUCCACAUCUAGACGCGCUAAAGACGUACGGGCUUCUAAAACCUGAACAUCAUUCACGAUUCCAUAACGUUUUUCGAGUUCAUCCAUCAACAGUUUUGCCGAGGAAUCUUCUCUACACAGCUUAAAAACGGAAUCGUCUAAAUGACGCAGUAUCAACCCAUAAGCCUUAGCAAUGUCUUUCGGUUGAGCCCUAGCCUCGUCAUCAAUACAACCUAAUAAAUCCUUUGCACGUAAAAUCGCCAACAUACGGCGUUUCCAUAAUGGAAAAUUAUACCCCUUAAAAAUAGCGCUAACUUCAACCUUAUCCCCUGACAUUUCGAAAUUUUUUAACGAAUUACUACUUAACGUUGAAUCGUCGCUCGAAUACCCUUUUUCGUCGUCAGAAUUUUCGUUACUCUCGUCACUACUUUCUUGGUUUUGAUCACCCAAAUCACCGUCGUU